CUCUCUCUCUCUCUCUCUCUCUCUCUCUCUCUCUCUCUCUCUCUCUCGAUGCUGCAGUUUUUUUGGCUCUCCCUCUCCCUAGGCUACUUUGCCUCUCUGGUGAUGAUGGUUGGAAAAACCCUAAUCUCUUCUUCCUACAUCUCCUGGUUUAGCAAUGGAGAGAUCUGCAUAGCUAUGAGAUGUAUAUUGUUGAGCCUCUGAUUCUCAAAAUUAGGGGUGUAUGAGAGGUAUAUGGCUUCAUUGGUGUUCCUUGAGGCGAUCGCAUUGGGCUUUCCUUAAAUUUGAGGCGAUUGCAUUUGGGUAAGAUUGUUAUAUUUUAAAUUUAUUUUAUUUAAAAUGUUAUUUUUAUUGAAUUAUGUAUACCGAUAGAAUCGAAAAAUAGCAGUCUAUUAAAUCAUAGAUUAUUGUAAUUAAACUGAGUUGCUUAAAAGUUUUUUUUUACCACUCAUUUACUAAUAAGGAUGUGAGUACUAAGUUGGAACAAUAUUUUCUUCCAAAAUAGGCAUCGUGUGUAGCCAUAUAUCUCUAUACCAUAAAUCUAUGGGUAUUUGGGUUUGAAAUAUGAAUGAAAGCGCAGUCUGUACGCUUACAAGUCUAUUAAGUUAUUUAAAAAUCGAAACAUUAAGGUUGAAUGAUGAAAAUGGAAAGUAGAGGUUUGAGAUUAACAGUGCAAUUUACCUCCUUGUCUUUCUACUACACACAACUCCUAUGCGAUCAUCGGCGGAGACAGAGGUGGUGCAAUCAAGCAUCUUUAUCAUCCUCACAGCAACGCUCGCGAUCGUUGUAGACUUACAAAUAGCACUCUUAAAGAAUCGACUUUUGUAAGAAUUGCUUUGAAUCAUAUAGGGACAACAAUCUUAUGGGAACAUAUGUUGCCACGGGAAGGUAUGUAUAUUUCUAAAUUAUUUUAUUAUCCUUUGCUAUAUAUUCUUCAUGUUUUCCAUAUGGGAUUUAAUUAAUUUAUUCGAUAUUAUAGCUUUUUCUAAAUUAUCUCCUUACAUGAUUGGAAUAUGGUUGAUUGAAGAAUAUAUUUGGUUGUAUGUACAAUGCUUUGCUAAAAAUCUCCUUCCUUUACAUAUUUAUCAGAAUACUGGUCAAUAGCAUUUUAGUCCAUAAAUAAAAAUUUCAGGGCGAAAUUCAAAAGAAAAAAAGGAAGAUCAAAGAUACACGAAAAAAAUAAAGGACUAUUUUUUCAACAACCCAAACUAGCUAGGCAUUGAAGUUGCUACAUGAUAUUCUCUAAGCUGCUUCAUAAGGUUGAAAAUAUUUGAACUUAAGUGGUUUGCUUAUUUGAAGUACCGUGUUCAGUUUUCUUUUCAUUGUUUAUAUACAGUCUGCUUAUUAAAUUAAGAACACUGAUUAUUAUAUAGUUUUGUUUUGUUGCUUUUACUUUGCUUUAUAUUUUUUUGCCUUAGCUUUAUAGGUUGUUGUAAGAAGCUUCCCAUUAACACUUCAGGCAUGUGCAGCUUUGUGGAAUGUCUCUUUUGGUAUCUCUUAUAAUAAGCUUUUGAAUAAAAAGUCUCUCCAACUACUCCAUACACGGAGAAGAUUCGUUAAAUUUCACAACUUACUUGAGGAUUAACACAGCUACGUGGAAAAUAAAGUUUCAAUCUCUUUUUCUCCAAAUGCCUGCGACUUUCUUUUGCAAUUUGAUAGUGCUAUAAUUUAAUUUUGCUGGUUUGGUAUUAGUUUAAUAAAUAUACUAGGCUGACAAUGUGGUCUAGAAAUAUAUUACGAACACAUUCGUAGAAUUGAUGUACAGAUUUGGUAUUAGCCCUUUUCCUUUUCUUUCUUUGGCUUUUUUUGGUAUUGCUUUGAAUCAAAUGUGGCACAACAAUCUUGCCGAAACAGAUAUUUUGGGAAGGUAUGUAUAUCUCUAAAUUAGUUUAAUAUCCUUGCUAUA